CUCGGGGGUUGUAGCAUCUAGAGCGAAAGAUGCCCAGAAAAAAAAACUAAAGCUGAAGGCCUCUAAAUUGAUCUCUACUUAGUGAGCAUAGCAGGAAAACCAAGUUGAAUGAGUUGGAGACUCCAUAGAGAUGGGCUUCUAGAAAAAAAUGGCACUGACUUAGCUGAAGGACUGAAAAAGGAAGCUGAACUUGCAACAUGUGAGAACAUUUUGUGCAAAGGAGACAACCUGGAGCUCCAGAGGACCUACACUCAGUGAAUGGGCUUGGUCCUACAUCCAAAUAUACAUGAGGACAUGCAGAGAAAUGUUGAAGUAUACAGGUCAGCCCACAGAGGUUUCUGCAGCCCCGCUCCCCAUCUAGGGAGAAGUUAUGGCAC
rnacentral:lncRNA from 1 species